GUGGGGAAUCUUAGACAAUGGGGGAAACCCUGAUCUAGCCAUGCCGCGUGAUCGAUGAAGGCCUUAGGGUUGUAAAGAUCUUUCAGGUGGGAAGAUAAUGACUGUACCACCAGAAGAAGCCCCGGCUAACUCCGUGCCAGCAGCCGCGGUAAUACGGAGGGGGCUAGCGUUGUUCGGAAUUACUGGGCGUAAAGCGCACGUAGGCGGAUUGGAAAGUUGGGGGUGAAAUCCCGGGGCUCAACCCCGGAACUGCCUUCAAAACUCCCAGUCUUGAGUUCGAGAGAGGUGAGUGGAAUUCCGAGUGUAGAGGUGAAAUUCGUAGAUAUUCGGAGGAACACCAGUGGUGAAGGCGGCUCACUGGCUCGAUACUGACGCUGAGGUGCGAAAGCGUGGGGAGCAAACAGGAUUAGAUACCCCAGUAGUCC
rnacentral:rRNA from 1 species